CCUCGAUUCACGUGUUGGUGCGGUCGUGAAACGUGUUCUCGCCAUUUCCGUUCUCUACCCAUUCCAAUUGUUCACUCGCGCGCUGUCCUUUGUCUAUUGACACACAAGUUGCAAUUCUCUUAACCAACAAAAGAUUACCUUGCCAGUCGUUUCAACGUAGACACAGAGUAUAUAGGUUUUCGUAAAUUUUAAAAUCACUCUGCCUUCCUUUUACCACGCGUUACGAUACAAAUGGAAUUUUCAUCUAACGCUUGAAUUUCACUGGAACGACGUUUAAAUACAUCAGCGAUAGAUGAAAUAAUAUUACGAGGUGAAAUGUAACGCGAAAAAGCACAUGCUGAGAGAACGGUUUUUUAAUUGCACGAAUUUCGUCGAAGCACACUCGACAGGAUCGUCCUCGUAAUAAAAGUUCAUUAAAAUCUGCAAAUUCCGGUGAGACUGUUCUCUGCGAGACGAUUGCAUCGCGUUAGUCGAUUAUUUGGAAAAU